UGCUAACUCCCACAAAGUAGAGUGCUUGACUACGAUUCCUUGCGUGAUCAAGAGGUUGCAGGUUCGAGCCCUGCGUCGGUCA